CAGCCGUAAACUAUGCGCGUUAGGUGUACUGGUGACCACGAGUCACCGGGGUGCCGAAGGGAAACCGUGAAACGUGCCGCCUGGGAAGUACGGUCGCAAGGCUGAAACUUAAAGGAAUUGGCGGGGGAGGCACCACAACGGGUGGAGCCUGCGGUUUAAUUGGACUCAACGCCGGAAAUCUCACCGGAUAGGACAGACAUAUGAUAGUCGGGCUGAAGACUCUACUUGAUGAUCUGAGAGGAGGUGCAUGGGCGGUCAGUGACU
rnacentral:rRNA from 1 species